AGCUGCAGCAGGCAGGGCAUGUAGCAGCAGCACAACCAGGGACUGUUUAGGAUUUCUUGGCAAAGUUAAGACCACUUGCUCCCUCCUGGAACUGUCUCCCUGCUCUCAAAACUGUUCACUCUCUGCCCCUACAGCAUUUGGGCACCACCUCUGCUUGUUAUGCCACUGCGACAAACCCUCCCUGUACACUGCAGAAUGAAUGCAAGUGAGAGCGGAAUGAAGGUACCACUUUGAAACAACCUUCGAGCCACACAGAGUGCCUGAGUAAUACAGUUGGCUUCAAAGGAGGAACUUGAAGAAGAAUGCAGCAGUUUUGAAGAUAUUUGGAAGGAGUUCUUCAUCUUUCAGAAAUGGUGGAGCAGCUCUCCAUAAAUACCAAAAAAAAAAAAAAAAUUCAAAGCACCACUUAUCAUCCAAGGUGUGUUUUAGCCCUUCUAUCCUUAAGGGUAUAACUCUUACCAGUUAUAAUUUCAUACCUUCAUAUAGCCCAGUCCUGAAAACUUUACUUAUUUUCCAUUCACUUGUUCCUCAGCAUAAUGUUCAUUGGCUUCAAUAGCAGUUAAAAGUGAAUAUUUUUUCCAGAAGUUUAUUCAUAGUUCAGAAGCAUAUCUAUUAUAAUAAUGACUGGCAGCCUAUAAUUUUUCUGGUUCUGAAUUGAUUUUCACUGAUAACAAUGUUUUAACCUCAUUGCAGGUUUUUUGUCUCAUUUUCUUUUGUUCUUGUUGUUGCUCUGGUUUUGUUUUGGGGAGGAGGUUGUUGUGGAGAUUGUGUUUGCAUUUAGCUAUGACCACCAAAGUAUUGGCUUUAAGUCCUCGACCUUUAGGGAAAUUUUAAUUGGGAGAUUUUUCUUGUCUUUAAUUUACACCCUAGAGUCUUAUUAAAAUGGUCUUCCUGAUGCCACUUGCAAACAGCAUCCUUGUGCCUGGUAGUCACUGAGUCACUUGCACUUAACCUCCAACCUCCUGAAUUUAAUAUCAGGCUGAAUAUUCCCAUAAAUGAGAAUGAUUAUAUAGAAAUGCAGCUGUGGUCGAACAUAGGUCAUAUAUUUGCCAUAUUUAAAGAAAAGGCUUUUUGAAUAGUAGAUACCUCACUGGAAAAAUGUGUCUUGGGUGCCUUAUGGCACCCUAUAAUCUCUUCUGCUAGACAUUUUAGAAACAACAGUCAAUGGCCAGGACUGUGCCCACAACAGUACCUUCUCUCCCUUCCCCUCUACCUUCUUUGCAGGACUCUAGUUCUGAGAGCUCCAAUAGCAUAGGAGUAACAGCUACAAUUCACUGCUGCUGAAAAGAGCUGUCUCCUCAUUUUGUCACAGACAUGCAUGCCAAGCAGACAAAAAACACUGCUUUUCAGUGGUCAAAAACUGGGGGACAUCUCCCACUAGCAACAGCAAACUCCAGCCGCUGCUUGACAAAAUUACAUUUCCCAGAAUGCUCUUCCCUCACUGACACACACUCCUGAAGCAUUGCUGCUUGCUGCCAGGGCUGAAGCUGGAAAGUACAGGAGUGGGGAGCAAGGGACAGGAGUAUGGGGUGCCUUACACUCCAUCCCCUACUUGCCCACCCACCCAUCCUUAUACUACUGGUCUGGACUGGAAAAGGUCCAAUGUGGUCCCUAUUUUCAAUAAGGAGAGGAAGGAGGAAUCUGGGUAAUUAUAGGCUGGUUAGCCUCACUUCUAUUCUUGGCAAGACCUUAGAAAAAAUCAUAAAGGAUUUGUGAUGGCUGUAGCUGUUGUAGGGCUUGCUAACGCUGCCCUGAGUUCAUUUUCCUACAGGCGGUAACAGGGUGGACCUCGACUUCGGAUCACCUGGUGUGCCAGGAAGUUGAUCUUGUGUUUCUCGCCUGCCAUGACUUUGAUUAAAUUAUUCCUGGGAGGCACUGCCUGAGGUGAUCCUGCCUGUCUCAAUCCCUGUUUUCUUCUGUGGGGCUCCAAACCUCUCCUUUACCCCAGCCUAGCCUCUCCAGAUGGUACUCAAAGUCCUUCUGCAGCAAGGUCACAGUACUACCUGUUAUUCUAUUGUUGAGCCCUCUAUCACCAGGGUGACCUUUGGCUUUGGUUAGGUGCACCCCUUCCAGGGCUGAUCUUGGCCUGUGCUCAAAAUCAAAAAAAAGAAAAGGAAAACAAAAAAAAAAAAACCCAACUGCUCUCAGUCCCCUUGCCAGGCUCAGUCCAUGUCCCCUUUCACCCAGGGCAGGCUCUCAAAAUCCCAAUCACAACAGCAAAAGAAAUUAAUUAGUCCAGUCACUGUUCUGCACAGGCCUGCCUGGCUCCCUUGCGAACAUUCACAGUCCCAGUGGGAUCUCUCCCAUGUGCAGCAAGGCUCUAACCUGGAACAGCAGUUUCCUCAGGCCUCUCCUCUGGAUCCUCAGCUGACACUCCACUCUGGAAAUCAUCACCAGCUCUAUGUGUGCAGGCCUCUGCCUGCCUCCUGCUCAGGGUCACUCCUGAAGUGUUCCUCUGGCAAGUUUCAUAGCCCUUGCCUGCUGGGACACUCAGCUGCUCCUCUCUCCCUGUGGCCUGCAGGGAACUGACCCCCCUCAGCCCCUCUCCAGGGCCAGAAAUACCUCUCAGCAGCCUCCCUCCUCCAGUGCAAGUGAGAUACUGCUUCGGAAUUGUGGUGAGCAUUUCUCUUCCCUUCCGGUCUCCAGAUACAGCCCUGCCAGCCAUCCAUGCUGUGAGUGUUGUUUGUUUUCACUCUCUCUGUCUGUUGCUACAGGCUGCUUUUCUUCUCCUGAACUCCUCUGCCCAGUAUGUAAGGCACCUCGGGGCUUUUGUUUGUUCUCUGUCACUCCUUCACAGGAUUAUAUUUGGGGGGGGCCAGCAGAUAAUACAAUGUUAGGGGGCAAUCAGCAUGGGUUUAUAGCAAGCAGAUCCUGCCUGACUAACCUGGUUUCUUUUUAUGACCAAAGUGCUUAGAUGCAGGAGUAGAGGUAGAUGUUAUUUACAGUAGAAGCUGAGUUAUCCAGCACCUUACAAGUCAGCAUGCUCUGUUAACUGGCAUGCUGGCUUGUAAGGACUUGUAAGGGAAAAAUGAAACUGGAACUGACCACCGUGGCACUUCCAGUUUCACGGAGCCCCCACAGCACGGGGGAAAGCAGCUUGUGUUGCCAAGCUCCCAUGUCCUGGAGCAUAGCAGACUGCAUGGGUCCUCCCUCCCUGUCCCUUGGGGCCCACAAGUCCAACAGGAGGGGCGGCAAUGCGGUGGCAGGGGCGGCAAUGGGGCAGCAAGGGCGGUGACACCCCAGAUGCGGUGGGACAGGCAGCAGCCCAAAUAGGCAAAGACACCUGUUCAGGCCACUCAGUUAACUGGCAUAUUUUUUUAUCCAGCACCCUCCAUUCCCCAUGGGUGCCAGAGAAUAAAGCUUUUACUGUACUUGGAUUUUUAAAAGGCUUUCGACACAGUGUUGCACCCAAUUCUUAUAAAUAAACUAAGUAGUUGUGACAUGGAUUUUUUUGACAGUCAGGUGGGUGGAAAACUGGAUUAUGCGACACACCCAGAGAGUGGUGGUGGGUGGGUCAGUUUCUACCUGGAGAGAUGAGGGCACUGGUGUCCCCCAAGGCUCUGUCCUUGGACCAGUACUAUUUAGUAUCUUCAUCAGUGAUUUGGAUGAGGGUGUAGAAAGCACUCUGUCCAAAUUCACAGAUGACACCAAACUAUGGGGCAUAGUAAAUAAACUUGAGGGUAGGGAGUGAAUUCGGGCAGAUUUGGAUAGACUGGGGAAGUGGGCAGAUCAGAAUAGAAUGCAACUUAACAAUGAUAAGUGCAAAGUGCUGCAUCUGGGGAGAAAGAAUCACCAAUACACCUAUAGACUAGGAAGUACCAUUCUAAGCAUCACGGCAGUGGAAAGGAUCUUGGAGUCGUAGUUGAUGGAAAAAAUGAACAUGAGUCACCUAUGUGACAAGGUAAUAAGUAAAGCUAACCGCACUCUUUCUUGCGUUAGUAGGUGCAUCACAAGCAGGUCUAUGGAGGUUAGACUUCCCCUCUAUGCAGCAUUGCUGAGGCCACAGCUGGAGUACUAAGUCAAUUUUUGGGCACCGCACUUCAAAAGGGAUGUGGAUAACCUGGAAAGGGUUCGGAGGAGCGCUACUCCUAUGGCUGAGGUCCUGCUGGGGUUAUUGGUACAUUUCUAUCCUCAGAUUGGAGCAUCCAGAAGUUGCACAUUUAUGAGUCUCCAGUGAAAUGGAAUCAUAAAUCUCUCAAGCAAGGAUAUAAGGCCAAGAGAGAUGAGAAGAUGGCCAUACAACCCUGAGCUUUAUAAAGAACUAUAUUCAUAGUGUGAGAGGAACACUCAGAAAAUAAGAAACUUUUCUAUUGAAAUGGUAAUGAAUCAAGUCUUCUAAAAGCAAAGUAAUAGAUUUCACAUAUUUGAAAGUGAAAAAGUAUUCAAAUGUUAAACACAGGACAAGGUAAGGUAAAAGCAUGUGCAAUAAAAAUGUUCUAUUUUAAAACCUAGAGGAAUAUUUUAUAAUAUAUUAAUCUUCAAACCUUUAGAAAUCCAGCUAUAUACAUUCAGUGCAGUUUUACAAUUGAGAUGAGAGACAAGCACAUUUCAGAUUAAGCUUGCAGAAUUUUUAUAUGCAUUUAAGACAAGAUUCCACUCUCUUGUUAAUUGGAACUAACUACAAAACUUAGCAGUCUAUAUAAAAGUACUUCUACUUAAAUGGAUGGAGCACUUAGGCUAAGUACAGACAGUCAAAAAGCCCAAGGCUGAAUCGAUGUAAUCUUCUCAGGUUAAUCUAAACUGGGUAGACUGAACCUAAAAGCAAGUGAACAGACAUUCCCUUUUGAUUCCAGAAAUACAACCAUAUUCCUGCAGUGGCCAAGGCCAGAAGCCGGGGGGGUACUAGAGUACACUUCCCUGUGCAGCUGGAGCAGACAGCUUGAUCCAAGGCUAGCCUGCUCACCAUGUGGGGAAGCGGGGUGUUGCAGAAAAGGUGCAAAGGAUCAUAGGAUGCUGAGGGACUGAGAGUUAACUUGAAUCUGGAGAGGAUCUGGGACAGAAGUUCAAUAAAAUGAUUUAACCUAAAUCAGUUAAGUCUGAUACUAUUUCCAUCCAGAUUUAUCUUAAGCUAGUUUUGGCCAUUUUGAAAGUGGUUUAUAUGCACUGAAUUUCUGUUGUGUUACAGAUUUAAACCAGUUUCUGAUCACC